AGAAGGAGGUCGUGCUGCCCGAGAUGCAUGCUGGAUAUUUUGGAGUGAAGCGCAUAAUUGCCUAAAUCAACCUAUGCUUCUUCUGGCAUGGGAUUGUCAAAGAUUUGGACAGCUGGCCAAGUGAAAUAACCUUUUGUCUAUCAAUCCCAUUCUAUUUGUCACCUUGUGCUUAAAUGUACCUGUCUAGCUUGCCAGAAGUUGGAGAGGAUGAGGGCUGCGGCGCCAGAGUUGAAGCCCAUCAGUUGUUUCACCAUGGCACGGACAAGACUGGCGAGGCAACCUCCAACACCAACGGUUCUCCUGAGGUCAUCUUGUGUCACCAAGGUCAUGAACUCUGGAACAAGGUUUGGAUGAACGGACCAACCAGACCCUCAAGAAUGCCAUGGGCAAGGUACCAGGAAUGGUGGUAGGACAACCUGAAGGACCUCGGGGUUCUGCCCAACACCCAGACCCACCUGAUGUCCUCCACUACCUGUUCUCCAGGACCUCGGGGUUCUGCCCAACACCCAGACCCACCUGAUGUCCUCCACUACCUGUUCUCCAGGACCUAGGGGUUCUGCCCAACACCCAGACCCACCUGAUGUCCUCCACUACCUGUUCUCCAGGACCUCGGGGUUCUGCCCAACACCCAGACCCACCUGAUGUCCUCCACUACCCGUUCUCCAGGACCUCGGGGUUCUGCCCAACACCCAGACCCACCUGAUGUCCUCCACUACCUGUUCUCCAGGACCUCGGGGUUCUGCCCAACACCCAGACAUGGAUCCACCUGAUGUCCUCCACUACCAACCAGCCUCCAACGUUUCAUUACAUCAUCUACAGCGACUGUUGUUGUCAUGUUGUCAUUACCUGCUAAGAAAGUUUUCUUGCUCCACAACGUGAGAUACACAGAUUAGCUAUAAACACGAGCGCUGCAAACACCUGGACUUUGCAGUCUCCCUCUUCAAGUCCCCCUUUAGAGACUGACUGUGACGGGCAGAACCUCCCAUCCACACAGCACCAACCUCCUCUCUAUUCCACACACCAAUAUUCAGUAUUUCAGUCUAUU